rnacentral:rRNA from 1 species
AGAGUUUGAUCCUGGCUCAGAAUCAACGCUGGCGGCGUGCCUAACACAUGCAAGUCGAACGAGAAAGUGGAGCAAUCCAUGAGUAAAGUGGCGCACGGGUGAGUAACACGUGACUAACCUACCUUUUAGUGGGGGAUAACCUAGGGAAACCUGGGCUAAUACCGCAUAACACUUACGAGUCAAAGCAGCAAUGCGCUGAA